GCCGCCUCUCAGACCUCCAUUCUUCCUAGAACUUUUACGAGAGCUGGCUUGUGCUCCAGGCUGAGGAAGGGGAGAGCAAGGUUUGGGGGAAGCGUUGCCUCCUCACCCCCCGAGUAAAACAAAUGUUCCACCCGGAAAAGUGGCCUCCCUCCUGACAACUGAGUUUCUGUAACAUGUGUGUAUGCUACGUCUCUCCAUAGCAAGUCGUGGGGUAGAGGAACGUGCCCAAGUGUUUCACCCCGCUGAUGUCGUCCAGUCUUGGAGUCCCAGGUUCACUUCUCCCUGGGGCGAAUACGGUUGGUUGGGGGAAGAGAUUUGACUUGAUCCUUGAUGGAUAUUAAAAAGGGACCAAACUUGAA